rnacentral:rRNA from 1 species
AUUGAACGCUGGCGGCAGGCUUAACACAUGCAAGUCGAGCGGAGAUGAGGUGCUUGCACCUUAUCUUAGCGGCGGACGGGUGAGUAAUGCUUAGGAAUCUGCCUAUUAGUGGGGGACAACAUUCCGAAAGGAAUGCUAAUACCGCAUACGUCCUACGGGAGAAAGCAGGGGAUCUUCGGACCUUGCGCUAAUAGAUGAGCCUAAGUCGGAUUAGCUAGUUGGUGGGGUAAAGGCCUACCAAGGCGACGAUCUGUAGCGGGUCUGAGAGGAUGAUCCGCCACACUGGGACUGAGACACGGCCCAGACUCCUACGGGAGGCAGCAGUGGGGAAUAUUGGACAAUGGGGGGAACCCUGAUCUAGCCAUGCCGCGUGUGUGAAGAAGGCCUUAUGGUUGUAAAGCACUUUAAGCGAGGAGGGGGCUACUGAGACUAAUACUCUUGGAUAGUGGACGUUACUCGCAGAAUAAGCACCGGCUAACUCUGUGCCAGCAGCCGCCGUAACAC